GAUUUCAACUAAAAAGUCAUCAACAACAAAGUUGUAUAACUCAUCAAAAUCUAUAACUUUUAUUUUGGUCAUUUCUUCAUCUGAUAAAGUGAUAGUAACAUUGUUCACAAAAUUCAUAUAUCUCUCAUCUGGUUUAUAAACCAUAACACAGAUAUGUAAAAUUUGUGAAUAAUGUUACUAACACUUUAUCGGAUGAAUAAAUGACAAACAUAAAAGUUAUAGAUCUUGGUGAGUUAUACAACUUUGUUGUUGAUGACUUUUUUUAGUUGAAAUC
rnacentral:pre_miRNA from 1 species